ensembl:lncRNA
GAGGGCGGAUCCGAAAGAGGCGGAGUGCACGCGGUCCCCUAGCCUUCUUCCCAGGCAAGGGAAAAGCCCCUUAGUAGAAAGCAUUCCAGAAAGACAAGGAAGGUGGUUCUUUGGAAACUGCUCAUUGGGAAUUGCUCAAUCAGAGAUAUUGCAUCUUCUACAAAUGGAAGGUCCAAGGCAACCCUGCGUCGAUCGAAUCUCUCAGCAUUACUUUUCUGACAGCAUUUGUUCACUUCAUGGUCCUGUGUCACAGAGAUGCUGCUAUUGCAUACUUCAUCGAGUGUAUAGUAUUGUGUAAACGUAACUUUUCUAUGCACUGGGAAGUGAAGAAAUUCCUGUGACUCCCUUUAUUCUGAUAUUCACUUUAUUGCGUUGGUCUGGAAGCAGACCCCUGCUGUCUCUGAGGUCUGCCUGUAUUCCUGAAGAAGGAGGUCCUAUCAAACACAGCAGAUUCGGGCCUUAAGCCUCGGAGACAGCCCAACCGUGGGGCCGAAAGAGACUGUGCAAGAAUGCUUAUAAUGACUCAAGGCCAAAAUGAAAGAUUCAGGCUCUCAGGAAAAUAACAAUACAUCACCAAAACAAGAAGAGGCAGAUCUGAGCCAUAUUUACAGAUGAAAUGAUAUGGUAUCUGAGUUUGCCUUCAAAAUAAUCUCAGGGUGGACAGCUGUGGGAAGGAUUGUGUGUUAAACAAGACUGGCUGUGAGUUAAUACUGCAGAGGGCACAUGAGUAAGUACAUAGGGGUUUCUUAUUCUAUGGCCUCUAAUUUUAUAUACCUCUGAAAUAGCCACAGUAAAAAUCAACAGCAGGAGUUCCCAUUUGAGGCAGCAGGUGAAGGAUCAAGCGUUGUCUCUGAGGCAGCAUGGGUCCAAUCCCCAGCCUGGUGCAGUGGGUUAAGGAUCUGGCAUUGCCAAGCUGUGGCUUGGAUUGGAUCCCUAGCCUAGGAACUUCCAUAUGCCAUGCCAUGGGUGCGGCAUAAAAAAAGAAAAGAAAAGAAUCAACAACAAAUAAAAAGCUCCAAAUAGGAAGUCCCCGUCAUGGCUCAGUAGUUAGCAAACCCAACUAGUAUCCAUGAGAUGCGGGUUCGAACCCUGGCCCUGCUCAGUGGGUUCAGGAUCUGGCGUUGCUGUGAGUUGUGGUGUAGGUCGCAGGCGCAACUCGGAUCC